GCGGUAGGAUGGCUGGGGAGCUCGCUCUUCCCUGCAACCCGAAAUGAGCGACACGCGGGAGCCUGAUAACCUGGACGGAGGAUCAUUCUGAACAGGGAGGAAACCAACUCCGUGAAGAUGAAAUUCUAUCCUGAGGGGCCGUUGGAAGGAGAUACUCCUUUGUAGGAAGGAGGAUUCCCCCUAACUGCUGAAACGGGUCAGGCCAGGGAUGGAGCAGCCCUAAAGUGGACGGAUGGCGCUCUCAGGGCUAUGGAACGGAUUUUGCGGAUUGUGCACUUCCUUGGGAUGGGUUUCAACGCCCAGGAGCUACCGC
rnacentral:SRP_RNA from 1 species